CUUAACACAUGCAAGUCGAACGAUGAUCCCAGCUUGCUGGGGGAUUAGUGGCGAACGGGUGAGUAACACGUGAGUAACCUGCCCUUGACUCUGGGAUAAGCCUGGGAAACUGGGUCUAAUACCGGAUACGACCAUCUGGCGCAUGUCAUGGUGGUGGAAAGCUUUUGUGGUUUUGGAUGGACUCGCGGCCUAUCAGCUUGUUGGUGGGGUAAUGGCCUACCAAGGCGACGACGGGUAGCCGGCCUGAGAGGGUGACCGGCCACACUGGGACUGAGACACGGCCCAGACUCCUACGGGAGGCAGCAGUGGGGAAUAUUGCACAAUGGGCGAAAGCCUGAUGCAGCGACGCCGCGUGAGGGAUGACGGCCUUCGGGUUGUAAACCUCUUUCAGUAGGGAAGAAGCGAAAGUGACGGUACCUGCAGAAGAAGCGCCGGCUAACUACGUGCCAGCAGCCGCGGUAAUACGUAGGGCGCAAGCGUUAUCCGGAAUUAUUGGGCGUAAAGAGCUCGUAGGCGGUUUGUCGCGUCUGCUGUGAAAGACCGGGGCUCAACUCCGGUUCUGCAGUGGGUACGGGCAGACUAGAGUGCAGUAGGGGAGACUGGAAUUCCUGGUGUAGCGGUGAAAUGCGCAGAUAUCAGGAGGAACACCGAUGGCGAAGGCAGGUCUCUGGGCUGUAACUGACGCUGAGGAGCGAAAGCAUGGGGAGCGAACAGGAUUAGAUACCCUGGUAGUCCAUGCCGUAAACGUUGGGCACUAGGUGUGGGGGACAUUCCACGUUUUCCGCGCCGUAGCUAACGCAUUAAGUGCCCCGCCUGGGGAGUACGGCCGCAAGGCUAAAACUCAAAGGAAUUGACGGGGGCCCGCACAAGCGGCGGAGCAUGCGGAUUAAUUCGAUGCAACGCGAAGAACCUUACCAAGGCUUGACAUGAACCGGAAAGACCUGGAAACA
rnacentral:rRNA from 1 species